AAAAAGAUGGACCAACGCCAUUUUGAAGACAGAUUUUCUCCCAAGAAUAGGCCGACAGGCCGCCUUUGAGUGUUUUGGACGAUUUUAUUCCCUUGCUGCCCUUGUUCGGCAGAAAAGCGGGCCGUGACUAACCGGCUUCCGCGGGCGCCGGGCGCGUCUCUGUCCCCUUGGAGUUGACAUUUGCUCACCGUAAACCCCCCGCAGGACAAUUUUCCUCCGACAGGAGGUGUUUGGUAGAGGCGUGGCCGUUGGAGGGCCAGACCCAGCGCUGCAGCUCCUCGUGGUUCCGACUGGCAGGUGCGGAGUGACUGGAAGCUCCGGCCAGCUGAGAGGGAAGACCAUCGCCUCGCCGCUUCAAACCAGCUAAGCCUUAUAACGUUGUUGCCGCUCUCUUCUCCGGCCUAGUAGUUCUGUAAC